rnacentral:rRNA from 1 species
UACUUAGGGUGCUAGCGUUACUCGGAAUUACUGGGCGUAAAGCGUGCUCAUGCGGUCUGUUAUGUCUGAUGUGAAAGCCCCGGGCUCAACCUGGGAAUGGCAUUGGAAACUGGCAGGCUCGAGUUUGGCAGAGGGGGGUGGAAUUCCGCGUGUAGCAGUGAAAUGCGUAGAGAUGCGGAGGAACACCGAUGGCGAAGGCAGCCCCCUGGGCUAAGACUGACGCUCAGGCACGAAAGCGUGGGGAGCAAACAGG